UUUUAUGGAUGAUGCUUCGAACAAUCGAUUCAUCAUUAGGAGGAAGAAGAAUGAAGGUCUGAGUGCCCUUUUUUUUCUUCUUUUUUGGUUGAUGUAUCAGCAUCGGUAUCAUCAUUAGGAGGGAGGAGCACAACCAUCAUCCUUUCAUUCCAAGUUUCCCACAGAGAGUAGAGCACGUCGGGAGGGAGGACCACUUGGGAAGGAGAAGAGAGGAGAGAGGAGGGAGGAAGGAGGAGGGAGGCAUUUGGAUUUUUUGAUGAGGAAUCAAUUGAGAGGGAGGA
rnacentral:lncRNA from 1 species